UAGGCCAUCUCUAAGGUCUUCUCCAGAUCAAUGUUCUCUUUGAACAUCAGGUAGAGAGAGUGGUUUUUAGGUUGUUGGCAACUGAAUUCUGUAUUAGUUACAGAAUGCCAUGACAUACUGGCUCCCAAAAUAGCUUGGUAGCUGGUUAAAGAGCCCGUGGCAGGAUCCAACACACACCUGGCUUUGAACCUGAGUCCUGUGGAUACAAUCUGUCUUCCCCUUCCAUUGCAUCCUUUAUUGGAUCACAAAGGAACUGAAGAACUAGGGCUGGUGUUUCUCCAGUGUUUUUUGGCUGCUGAAUGCCCUACCUACCUCCUUAACACCUUUCUGGACCCACUUCAGCAUUUCAGAGGAUUCCAGUGCCAGUUCUACUCCAAAGAAAGUGCAACUGACUCUAGGAGGAAUUUGAACAAAGAAAGUUUCCUUCUUUGGUGAGCGCUUGGUAGAAGAGAAGACGGGAAAGGCUGGAAACCAUUGGUCUUCCCUUCCAUCAGCACUUCUGAAAAAGAGGAAGCAGAGAUGUUAAUUAAAUACCUACCAUGGUGCCAGGAACUUACUAGAUGCUGGAGAUACCAAGAUGAACAAGGCCCUGAACCUUGAAGGACUUACAAUCU